GUAAAUCCUUGUUUCUCACAGU
rnacentral:miRNA from 1 species